ACCGCUGUUAACGUGACAGCCAGGGGAAACGACGGUUGCUCGGAACUUCUGCUUGACCACAUUUUGGAACGACCCCGGCUCUUGUUUAGAGCAUAUUCUUGGGCAAUCGACUCUGGAUUUGGACUAUUUGGACAUCAUUUGCAGACAAGAAUUUGGGUUUUUAAAUGCCAUAUCCAGUAAUGUAGCUGUUUUACAGCCUAUUUUAGGUGCAUUGACAAAAGUACAUAGCCUUGUAAAUGCGGAAAAAGAAAAAAAGUAAACAACACAUUAAAACUGUGCAAUCUGGCAUAUCUUGUAAUUUUAUUGGAAUGAAAGAAACUUCUUAUUGUUCAACCAUACAUCUUUCAGGAAGACUUGGUCUAAAUGAUAUGAGAGGAGAAACCACCAAGCUACAUGAGUUGGAACACCACUGACUAAGAACUUUUAGGGUACACAAAAACACGUCAUUGAAAAGGACAAGUAGCUACAUUACCAUUGCUAGCAGUGCUACAGAGGUGGGUCAUAUUAGGUUGCAUGCCAAAUAAUAGUAUUGUUCAACCCCCUAUACUCUACUGUAUGUCCAUUUAAAAGUAUAACAAUGAACUGCAUGUUAAUGUGCUAAAUUAGUAAUACAAUCUUUUGAAUAUUUAACCUAACAUAUAUAACUUAACAUAUGGUGUUAGUGAGCACUGCUUUGUACCUACACAAGACCAAAUCUUGUGUGGCAAGUGCCAAUACAAGCCAAGCUUUCCUUUUUAAAGGAUGCAUAGUCCUUGUAAUGUCCUGGGAUUCGCAGGGUCUCAAAACAGGUGCAGGCUGUUGGGAAGCUGCCCUUCACCACCUCAAUGGUUAGGCUAUUCCUUGGCAGAAUCUCCCACCCAGUCCAGAAUUUUAACAGGUCAGUCAAUUCAUCAGGUGAUGCUGUGGAUUAAACAAUAUGGAUCAAAUGAUAGGUUGCUACAAGUAA